CUUCAGCGAGCCCAGCCACAGCGGCCGUUGGCGGUCCUGCCCGUAGGUGGCCAGGAUGGCCUGUGCCUC
rfam:Micromonospora echinofusca strain DSM 43913 genome assembly, chromosome: I